UUUGGAGCUCUGGUUCCCCUUGUGGGAAGCCUUGUUGCUGUCCUUGUGUGGCCGUCCACAACAAGGUUCUCUGAGACAGCAUUGAGUCAUCCACAUCCUGUUUCUCCCAGGGCAGUUGGUUUCCGGUUUUUGUGCAGGAGAAAGUUUUAAGUUUCGAAGGAGACUGGCCUGGAAAUGAGCUUCUGGGGAGAUGUGGGAUCUGAGCAGACCUCCAGACUAAGCCCAGUCUUGCCCUUUUUGCUCCC